UCGUCUUGAUAUUCGGUACACAACAUCUUGACUUCUGACAUUUGAUUUCGACAGCUCGUUUAUACCGUUUUUUUUCGCAUAUUUUUUUUUAUUUGCUCCGCACAGGCAGUUUCGGAUUAUUGCAACUAAUUUGCUAUCCGAUUGCAUAUUGGUGGAAAAAAAGAAGCAAAAAGUGAUAUAAAAAAGCGAAAAUUAUCAAUGUAUGAAAUUAAAUGGGAGAGCAAAUGAAACUGCUGGCAUAUAUUCGAGAGACGCGCGGCGGUUGUGAAUUGGGAAUACCAAAUAAGGCUUUAAUGUGGAGUUCAAUUUCAUGUUUAGAAGUAAUAUCAUAUAUUGUAUAUUUACAAUUAAAUUGUCAUGCGAGUUGGAUUUUGAGAACAUGGCAGCAUUACGUUUUAACUGUAUCGAAAAUAAGAUCAGAUGGAAAGUGUGCUCUGGAAAGGAUAACUCGAGAAAGAGUCUCAUAAGGAUUUCUGUCAUGGAUAAUUUUAUGGAUUUAUCCUUGCUAGCUGCUUUUGAACAGUUUGGGUACGAGUCAUUUAGCCAAAGACCAUACUUCUAUAUUAUGUAUUUACGAAGUUCUUCUGUGGAAAUUAUACCUAAGUCAUUGAAUUACACAACCAAAAACUUUAUGAGUCUUUCAAUAAAAUGGAAGUACACACUUUCGUUUGAAUAUCAGAAACGCCGGUAUUUUUGAAGUCUAAAGAGAAUAUAUCCACAUAUCUUAUUUCCGAAACUUUUUCCUUGCGCAAAUAUUAAUUAGUGGUACUUUGGUGUAUUCCGAGAAGAAAUAUUCGCGCUUGCUGGCUUUCUAAAAGAGCCAUAAUAUAAUAUAUUUGUAGUAAGCAGUUCAACCUAACUAAAUGUCGUUGGUGAAAUAUAACGUUAUAUAUAAUAUAUAUAUACUUGUAUAUAUUAUUUUUAA